rnacentral:rRNA from 1 species
UACAGAGGGUGCGAGCGUUGUCCGGAAUCACUGGGCGUAAAGGGCGCGUAGGUGGCGACCCAAGUCGAUGGUGAAAGCUCGCCGCUCAACGGCGAGUCGGCCACCGAUACUGGGUUGCUGGAGCACUGUAGAGGCAGAUGGAAUUCCGGGUGUAGCGGUGGAAUGCGUAGAGAUCCGGAAGAACACCGGUGGCGAAGGCGGCUCUCUGGAACGGUACUGACGCUGAGACGCGAAAGCGUGGGGAGCGAACAGG